UACGGAGGGUGCAAGCGUUAUCCGGAUUCACUGGGUUUAAAGGGCGCGUAGGUGGGCAGGUAAGUCAGUGGUGAAAUCUCCGGGCUUAACUCGGAAACUGCCAUUGAUACUAUCUGUCUUGAAUACCGUGGAGGUCAGCGGAAUAUGUCAUGUAGCGGUGAAAUGCUUAGAUAUGACAUAGAACACCAAUUGCGAAGGCAGCUGGCUACACGAAUAUUGACACUGAUGCACGAAAGCGUGGGGAUCAAACAGG
rnacentral:rRNA from 1 species